GGCGGAGCAAAAGCCACGGGAGAAAAUGGCGGGUGCUCCGUGAGGGGAGCGGAGUGCCUCAGGUAACAGAGUAAAGAACAUGAAGAAAGAGUAACACACUGCUCAGAAAAGUUACUUCAGGAGAUUGCUGCAAGAGGGAAAAGGCUGCUGCUCUCCUUCUGGCUGAGUCCCAUAGGAGAGUAAAUGGAAGCCCCUAAGGAAGGAGCACAACACACACCGAACUGGCAAAAUACCUAAGGAGGAAAAGAAAAAUUAAAUCACCAUUAGCCAGUUCAGCCCCAUGGACACAGGUCAUCUUGCUAUAAACAAAGCUUAUUAACUGGACAUCCU